rnacentral:rRNA from 1 species
GACGAACCGUGCGAACGUUGUUCGGAAUCACUGGGCUUAAAGGGCGCGUAGGCGGGUUCGCAAGUCUGUGGUGAAAGCCUCCAGCUUAACUGGAGAAGUGCCAUGGAUACUGCGCAUCUUGAGGAGGGUAGGGGCGUCUGGAACGGUCGGUGGAGCGGUGAAAUGCGCAGAUAUCAGGAGGAACACCGGUGGCGAAGGCGGGGUCUCUGGGGCCGAUACUGACGCUGAGGAGCGAAAGCGUGGGGAGCGAACAGG